rnacentral:rRNA from 1 species
GAUGAACGCUGGCGGCGUGCUUAACACAUGCAAGUCGAACGGAAAGGCCCAAGCUUUCUUGGGUACUCGAGUGGCGAACGGGUGAGUAACACGUGGGUGAUCUGCCCUUCACUUCGGGAUAAGCCUGGGAAACUGGGUCUAAUACCGGAUAGGACCACAUUCUGGAUGGUGUGGUGGAGAGUUUUGCGGUGUGGGAUGAGCUCGCGGCCUAUCAGCUUGUUGGUGGGGUAGUGGCCUACCAAGGCGUCGACGGGUAGCCGGCCUGAGAGGGUGUACGGCCACAUUGGGACUGAGAUACGGCCCAGACUCCUACGGGAGGCAGCAGUGGGGAAUAUUGCACAAUGGGCGCAAGCCUGAUGCAGCGACGCCGCGUGGGGGAUGACGGCCUUCGGGUUGUAAACACCUUUCGCUAGGGACGAAGCGCAAGUGACGGUACCUGGAGAAGAAGCACCGGCUAACUACGUG